CGCUGGCGGCGUGCCUAACACAUGCAAGUCGAGCGAGGAGAUUCCUUCGGGAUGAUCCUAGCGGCGGACGGGUGAGUAACACGUGGGCAACCUGCCUCAUAGAGAGGAAUAGCCUUCCGAAAGGGAGAUUAAUACCUCAUAACAUUGCAGUUUCGCAUGGAACAGCAAUUAAAGGAGUAAUCCGCUAUGAGAUGGGCCCGCGGCGCAUUAGCUAGUUGGUGAGGUAACGGCUCACCAAGGCGACGAUGCGUAGCCGACCUGAGAGGGUGAUCGGCCACAUUGGGACUGAGACACGGCCCAGACUCCUACGGGAGGCAGCAGUGGGAAUAUUGCACAAUGGGGGAAACCCUGAUGCAAGCAACGCCGCGUGAGUGAUGACGGCCUUCGGGUUGUAAAGCUCUGUCUUCAGGGACGAUAAUGACGGUACCUGAGGAGGAAGCCACGGCUAACUACGUGCCAGCCGCAGC
rnacentral:rRNA from 1 species